AACUUGGAACCCUGGAGUCACUGGGCACCCCAGUCCAGCGACGGCUGCCUGACAGUCACUUGGCUGGAGAGGGUCAGCGGCGAUCAUGCUGUGCUGCUUUCCCAGGCCUCGAGGCCGCAGCACCAGGACCCCGCGCAGGGAAAGCACUUGGGCGCGAGUGAGAGGUUGGAUGGCUAAGUCCCCAUGCUUCGGGCCACUCACCAGGAACUGCCUGGCCUUCAGGGGCAGCACAGGGCGGGUCUCCCCAGACCCAGAGACCUGGGAAUCUGAGACGAGCAGGAGCCCAGGGCAGAUCUCCCUGGACCUGGACUCCAGACUCUCAGGACCACCGAGUCCAGGACAGGUCCAGUCAGGCCCGGCCACCGCUAUUGGGGCCCAACGGGAGGAGAGCCGGGUAGAGGACUGCAUGGUGAGGACGGUGCUGGCAGGCAGGCAGCGCCCCCCGAGGGAGCUCCUGGAACAGGACUUCCUGGACAGCCGCCCCAUCCACCCAGACUCCCUCCUGGACCCCUCUGGGGCCUGCAUUCGCACCCUUCAGGAGGGGAUGGUGUGAAGGCGAGAUCUGUGGUCGGGACCCAGGGGCACUUGGCCACUGUGGCCCCAAGUCUUUGGAAGGUAUGAGCCCUGCCUCCGCCUGCUCGCAACUCUGAGCAACAGGGCGCUGAGAAAAUCGGGCUCUCGGCAUCACUACGGGGCAGAACUGGGGUCUCCAGGGCAGUGCUGACCCUGGCCUGCCGGAUUCCUUUCCAUCCCUGGCUGGCUAUGCUUUGCCCCACUGAGCCCUGCACAGGGGAAGGCUGUCUGUUCCCUGUAAAGGAGACCGCAGAGUGACUCGGCAGGCCUCUGGUCUUCCCAGAGCAGGAGUCUGUGGGGAUGUGAAGGGCCCAGGGCCACUGACAUCAGGGAAGAGCAGGUGGGGUCCCCAUUCCAUGGACAUAUGUGAAGACACACUGUGUGCAGACCUUUCCCAGGGCUCGGCUGUGAUCACCAGUAGCCAGAGCAGAUGCAACCCCUGCCCUCUGGGGCUUCAGUGCUGUUUGGGGUCCUCAGUCACCCUGGACAGCUGAGCAAGCAUUCCUCACACUGCAGUAGCUGGCACUUUCCUGGCCUCCCUAGAUGUGGAUCCACAGCAGUGCAAGAGGAGCCCAGGAGCGGCACGGACACUGGGCAGCACAGCGCUGCAGAGCUGAAGCCUGAGGAGAGGUGGGCGGGACAGAUGCCCACUGUCCCCCCGUCUCAGAUCGUUACAGAGCAGUGGCCCUGUGCCCUUGAGUGUAACACGCACAGACACCAGACUCUGUCCUCAUGCAGCUGGCAGUGGGGACGGGUGGGCAGACGGUGUGUUGGGCUGCCCUGAACAAGGCAGAGGCGGUCACACCACAGAGCACGGAGCCUCCUGUUAGGUCUCGGGCUGCCUGGGCCAGCACUGCCCCACUGGGCGUGGAGAGGGUGGGGCUGGAGCAUGUGCAGCUGGGCCAGGAGGCCUACUUGGUCAUCUCCGCAUGUUCCCUGGACAGGCAGCAUGGGAGGAAAGGCCAGGCCUCUCGCUCUGCCUCCUACCUGCCUUUCCGGUCCUCCUUUUUUGUCCUCCACUUCUUGGUGGAACUGCACUCCCAGGAGAAUCCACCAGCUGAACUCCUGGCCCAGCUGGAUCAAGCUGAGCCCACUGAGGCAUAGCCCACGGGCAAGGAGGAUGGGGUGUGGGCCUGUGGGCAUGAGGGGAGGGAUGGGCCUUUAGACACAGAGACAGCUUCCGGGUGCUGGGGUGACCUGGGAUCACUGAGACCUCAGCCAUCAUGGUCUGGGAGGACUUCCUGGGGAGGCUUUGUGCACAGAGCUGUCUGAUGGGCAGUGGGGAGGUUUUGCCCUGGGAGGGAACAUGGACAGUUGGUGACUUUUUCUUCUCUUGGAACUGCAGGACCAGCUCCAUCCCCAGCUGAAGUUCCACGAGUGGAGUGAGCCAGCUCCACCUGCAGCUUCCUGCCCAGCGCUGGGACCACAGCCAGAGUCCGUGGCAGCCCCUUCACCUGCUGCAGUGCUGGGGCACCCGGUGGUUGCAUGGCGGUCGGUGUCACCUCCUGAGCUCUGCCUGGGGCCAGCUCCUGGCCUCCUCCCACUGUUCCCCUCACUUAUGCUGGCUCUUGUUUUGGUAUUUACAAAUGCCCUUAUUUCUUGGAUUUAUAUAAUAGAACUAGCUUUUAAUAAAACUUAAAAUUUUAGUGUUUAAAAGGGUCAGCGUGGUGGCCUGAAGUGCCUUCUCCCUGUGUGUGUCCAUCCCCAGAGCACCGUGCUUGGUGGCUCCUGCCCAUACCCCUGGCCACUGCUCCUUUCGUGUCCCCACGGGCACCUGACCUGCAGGGUUCACACCAGUGCAGUCGGACUUGCCUUUGGCCACACAGUCGUGAGAGGGGCUGAUGAAUCUUGCGCUAUGCAGAAGGGGAAACCCUAGAAAGAUCCCGGCCAUUUUUCAUUGUCUUCUUCAGUAGGUAAUCCAGGUUGUGUUGCCAGACAGGAUGUAUUUAUCACAGUAAGAUAACGUGUGCAGUGAGUGAAGGACAGGCGAAGGGGACCAUCGCAGGAAACCCACUGGGCCUUGGCCUCCCCUAGGCGCCGCCUCCCUGUCUGCAUCUCGGGGUUCAGGCUGCGUCUUCCCUGCUGGGAGGGGGUGCGCCACUCCUCAGCUCUCCU
rnacentral:lncRNA from 1 species